ensembl:ncRNA C09B9.81 ncRNA
AAUUUACUGUUUCAAAAAUAACAUAUACCAUAUCACUAUUUAAGACUUAUUUAUGAUUUUUUUCUUACAUGUCAAAGAAUGUUGUUAGUUUUGGUGAAGAUAUAUGUUCUAUUCUUGGAACAUGUGGUUGAAUUUUCCCCCACUUUCAUA